rnacentral:rRNA from 1 species
UACGGGGGGGGGUAAGCGUUGUUCGGAAUUACUGGGCGUAAAGGGCUCGUAGGCGGCCAACUAAGUCCGACGUGAAAUCCCAAAGCUUAACUUUGGAACUGCGUCGGAUACUGGAUGGCUUGAAUUCGGGAGAGGGAUGCAGAAUUCCAGGUGUAGCGGUGAAAUGCGUAGAUAUCUGGAGGAAUACCGGUGGCGAAGGCGGCAUCCUGGACCGACAUUGACGCUGAGGAGCGAAAGCUAGGGGAGCAAACGGG